rnacentral:rRNA from 1 species
AGUAACGCGUGAGUAACCUGCCUUACACAAGGGGAUAGCCUUUGGAAACGAAGAAUAAUACCCUAUAAAACCAUAAAAGCACAUGCAAUUAUGGUCAAAGUGAUAGCGGUGUAAGAUGGACUUGCGUCUGAUUAGCUAGUUGGUGAGAUAAAAGCUCACCAAGGCAACGAUCAGUAGCUGGCUUGAGAGAGUGUACGGCCACAUUGGGACUGAGACACGGCCCAG